rnacentral:rRNA from 1 species
ACACGACUACAUUAGAUACCCCGGUAGUCCUAGCCGUAAACGAUACUCGCUAGGUGUCGGCCACGGUGCGACCGUUGUCGGUGCCGUAGGGAAGCCGUGAAGCGAGCCACCUGGGAAGUACGGCCGCAAGGCUGAAACUUAAAGGAAUUGGCGGGGGAGCACCACAACGGGUGGAGCUUACGGUUUAAUUGGAUUCAACGCCGGAAAUCUUACCGGGACCGACAGCAACAUGAAGGCCAGGCUGAAGACUUUGCCGGAUUAGCUG